ensembl:lincRNA
CCCUAGUCAGCCCUGUACCUAGGCGCUGCCAGAGUCCAGUGGUGAUACCCUGCUGGGAAGCCUGCGAGCUGAACUUCCGUGGCACGGGCUUUGUGUAUUUUGUGUCCCAUUGGGUUCAUGGCCUGGGAUUCUCUAGGGGGAGUGUUCCCCGUGAGGCUUGCUUUUCUAGGGAAACGAAUGAGGGAACCCUUGGCGGCCCUGUGGGACACGCCAGCUAAUCCCUUCCACCAGCCUUGAAGGAUCCAUAGUUUGCGGGAUGUGUCUUGCAAAUGCGGCCUGUGAAAGUGAAGGGGCUGGCCUGUUGGCCGUCCUCAGGUGGUGGGAGGUGGCGUGUUGUAGCCUGAGGGCACGUGGUGAGCUGCUGUGGCCAGGCAGCUGGCGGGCAGGUUACAGGGGGGACGGGGGACAGGUUGCAGGUGGGAGGUUGCAGGUGGGAGGUGCAGUGAACUGGGCGGGGUCACUGCGAAGGUUUUGUCCCCUGAGUUGGUGAGCGGCGUGGAACCCCCACGUGGAAGCCAUAUCCGUGGAGGUGCUCUCCGCCCGGGGGAGGGAAUAGCCUCUUCCAGGGAGAAGCCCCAGAGGCAUCACAGGCAGGACCAGCAGAUAGCAGGCUUAGAGAGAAGUAGGGGCGACAGUGGAUCGAUGCAAUGGGUGCCCCUGUGUCCCUCACGUGUGGUGCUCUUUUUGUCUGUACUGCUCAGGGGCAGUUGCCGUGGCCGUCCCACCUUCUGCUGGGGCUUUGUGAUUCCUUGAUGCGGAAGCCACAUGAAAUUGCCGCCAGAGUUGUGCUCUGCCGCCGCCUGGGUCUGUGGAAGAUGGAAAAGUUGGCGAAUCGGGCGUGCCUUGAGCUGAGGGUUCCUGCUCCCGGAGGACUAGAGCAGCCAUGCAGUACUGCGAACCCUGUGUCCCCUUGUCGAGAUCCGGGCCUCUGGCCGUUGGAAGGUGAUUCCAGGGACCAAGAAGGAAGACUAGCAUGUCCUGAGAAUCCACAGAGGGGUCAGCACACCCUGGAACCCACAGGCAGAGGCUUCUGAAUGUUGAUGAAUGGCUGAUGAUGGUAAGUGGCUCUGUGCACUCACACUGAGAUUCUUAAUUUCUAGUUCUAGA